CUAGUUUGGGAUUAAGGCUUUGUUAUUGUUGUUAUAGGGUUUAGUUUGGUUCGGUUCGGUUUGCUUAUGUGGUUCAGAUUGAUUUUUGAAAAAAACCUAAUUUGAUUAUUUAAGUUUGGAAAUGAAUUGAUUGUGUGCACACCCCUAGCUGCAUUAUUGCUUUGAUUUUGGCCAACUGCAGAAACUGAUCUUCAAAACUUUCUUAUAGGAACUUAUGGAACCUGAGAUAAGAGCAUAGGGAAAGAGUUCUACAAAAGAAGUAUGGUUAUGCGAUAUUAGUGUAGUAUGAAAAUCCUAUAGAAUGUGAUUUUAUUUUCUUAUAUUCAAGGGAAAGAUCCACUGGCUGGUGCCAUUGAGACAAGCUGUUAUUUCCAGGAUCAUUUGGAAUUUGUUUAUCUUCAUUGCUGAUUAGCUCUCUUCCUCUCUGGUUACACAUCUUUUUUAAUGACUGAAAAAAAUAACAGCCAAUUUCUAAUUUAUGAUGCUUUGACAUGAAAAAGUUAAGAAUUGGUUUAGAUUUGCAGUUAAUAUUUUGAUAAUUUUUCAAUAAUGAUGUCUUAGGUAUGUGCCUACAAAGAUGGAGAGGUUAUUAUUGAUACUGCCGCGG
rnacentral:misc_RNA from 1 species